rnacentral:rRNA from 1 species
GACGAACGCUGGCGGCGUGCUUAACACAUGCAAGUCGAACGGAAAGGCCCUGCUUUUGUGGGGUGCUCGAGUGGCGAACGGGUGAGUAACACGUGAGUAACCUGCCCUUGACUUUGGGAUAACUUCAGGAAACUGGGGCUAAUACCGGAUAGGAGCUCCUGCUGCAUGGUGGGGGUUGGAAAGUUUCGGCGGUUGGGGAUGGACUCGCGGCUUAUCAGCUUGUUGGUGGGGUAGUGGCUUACCAAGGCUUUGACGGGUAGCCGGCCUGAGAGGGUGACCGGCCACAUUGGGACUGAGGUACGGCCCAGCCUCCUACGGGAGGCAGCAGUGGGGAAUAUUGCACAAUGGGCGGAAGCCUGAUGCAGCCACGCCGCGUGCGGGAUGACGGCCUUCGGGUUGUAAACCGCUUUCGCCUGUGACGAAGCGUGAGUGACGGUAAUGGGUAAAGAAGCACCGGCUAACUACGUG